rnacentral:lncRNA from 1 species
GCUGGAGAGAAUGAGCUUGGAGCCGCAGGGCUUAAUCCCGCGCGGCUCAGAGAUGGGUUUCUGGACUCGCGAAGCAGCUGCAACAAGGCAUCACUCACUGUAUAAGUAUUUCCAUUUCUGAGAGCAAAAGGAAGAACUUAAGCGGGCGGCACUUGGAGUGUAAAUUGCUUUGUAGUAUUUAAAGGCAGAAUGGAUCCUGGGCAGCCGAGCUGAUCAUGAGGUUCCUGAGGCCUCCUAGCCAUGCUUCCUGUGCAGCCUAUGGAACUCAACAAACCGGCAGGACUUCCUGUGAAAUCAUGACCACCAUGUGCUCUUUCAGCCUCUAUCAGUUCCUACCUCUAAGCACCUGAGAGCCAAAGCAAACCACAGGAAACCACAGAAUGAAAGCCAAGCAUAUUCCAUCAUUUCCUAAAACCAAGAUAGAGCACAUAUGGGAACUUGUGAAAUAAGGUGAGGAUGGGGAGGUGUCAAACAAGACCUAACCUCUCAACAAUCAGCUGGACACUGUUGUGUAAGAAUGUGAAGCUUGGCACUGCUGCAGCCAUCUUGUUCCAGGAAGGGUAAAACCUGAGGUUAGAAGCCAACAUCCUAAUGAUGGCAGAGAAGACAAAGAGAACCAGAGUCUAAAUGACAUUGUUGAGUUAGAUCACUACACUACCUCUAGUCUUCUUUUUAUGUGUGAUAAUAAAUCUCACUUAUACUUAAGCCAUUUGAAGUUGAGUCUAAUGUUCAUUUCAGACCAAAGCAGCUUAACUGACAUGUUCUCCGCUUUGUUACCCUAUCCAGUUGUUUUCAUGCAGGAAAUAAAUCUCAAAUUACCUCA